GCUAGGUGUGGUGGUGUGGGCCUACAGUCCCAGCUACCCAGGAGGCUGAGCAAGAAGGUCACUUGAACCUGGGAGUUUGGGGCUGGAGUGUAGCGCACUGUGCCAAUCACUUGUGCACACUAAGUUUGGCAUCAGUAUGACAACGUCCAAGGAGCAGGGGACCACCUGGUUGCCUAAAAAGGGGUACACUGGCUCAGGUCAGAAACAGAACAGGUCAAAACUCUCAUGCUAUCUGUAGUGGAUCAUACCUGCAUAUAGCCAUGCUCUUCAGCCUGGGCAACACAGCACGACACUAUCACU
rnacentral:SRP_RNA from 1 species